rnacentral:sRNA from 1 species
UGGCUGAUGGUCUUUGCAAAUCAUGAAU